rnacentral:rRNA from 1 species
AAUAGAUACCCUGGUAGUCCACGCCGUAAAACGAUGAGUGCUAAGUGUUAGAGGGUUUCCGCCCUUUAGUGCUGCAGCUAACGCAUUAAGCACUCCGCCUGGGGAGUACGGCCGCAAGGCUGAAACUCAAAGGAAUUGACGGGGGCCCGCACAAGCGGUGGAGCAUGUGGUUUAAUUCGAAGCAACGCGAAGAACCUUACCAGGUCUUGACAUCCUCUGACCUCCCUGGAGACAGGGCCUUCCCCUUCGGGGGACAGAGUGACAGGUGGUGCAUGGUUGUCGUCAGCUCGUGUCGUGAGAUGUUGGGUUAAGUCCCGCAACGAGCGCAACCCUUGACCUUAGUUGCCAGCAUUCAGUUGGGCACUCUAAGGUGACUGCCGGUGACAAACCGGAGGAAGGUGGGGAUGACGUCAAAUCAUCAUGCCCCUUAUGACCUGGGCUACACACGUGCUACAAUGGAUGGUACAAAGGGCUGCAAGACCGCGAGGUUAAGCCAAUCCCAAAAAACCAUUCCCAGUUCGGAUUGCAGGCUGCAACCG